rfam:Gossypium raimondii chromosome 12, whole genome shotgun sequence.
CACGUCAGCGUGAGUUGCUGACGUGGCAACAAAUUGCGCCCUUUAGGACACGAUUUGAUGCCACGUCAGCAACUCGCGCUGACGUGG